AGCGGGAAGCGGUUCAGGGCAGCCGGGGAGUCUCAUAAGCUCCUGAUGGUGGGUUCGAGUCCCACUCCCGCUA
rnacentral:tRNA from 1 species